UGCUGCGUUGAAGAUCUACUGGCGGCUUUCGGCUGUUUGGUCGGGUUGUUGUCUCUGUGACAUAUUCCCCAUUUUCAUUCUCAAUUUUAAGAUUAAAAGAACAUGGGGGAUUUGAAAUCCAAACGAAUCGAGAUCCGGGUGGUAGGUUUGAUAUCUGCUUGCAUGCAUGCAUCAACCGUAAUGCGAAUCUACAUUCAGUCAAAUAGUCACAAUUGGAAAUAGAACACACAAACAUUUAAGUCACAAACUAGACGACUGAACAAAUAAAAGCAAGUACUGGUCACAGUUCAACUGUCAACAAAGAGAA
rnacentral:lncRNA from 1 species